rnacentral:rRNA from 1 species
GCCAGUUGCGGCAGCUAUACAUGCAGUCGACGCACAGCGAAAGGUGCUUGCACCUUUCAAGUGAGUGGCGAACGGGUGAGUAACACGUGGACAACCUGCCUCAAGGCUGGGGAUAACAUUUGGAAACAGAUGCUAAUACCGAAUAAAACUUAGUGUCGCAUGACACAAAGUUAAAAGGCGCUUCGGCGUCACCUAGAGAUGGAUCCGCGGUGCAUUAGUUAGUUGGUGGGGUAAAGGCCUACCAAGACAAUGAUGCAUAGCCGAGUUGAGAGACUGAUCGGCCACAUUGGGACUGAGACACGGCCCAAACUCCUACGGGAGGCUGCAGUAGGGAAUCUUCCACAAUGGGCGAAAGCCUGAUGGAGCAACGCCGCGUGUGUGAUGAAGGCUUUCGGGUCGUAAAGCACUGUUGUAUGGGAAGAACAGCUAGAAUAGGAAAUGAUUUUAGUUUGACGGUACCAUACCAGAAAGGGACGGCUAAAUACGUGCCAGCAGCCGCGGUAAUACGUAUGUCCCGAGCGUUAUCCGGAUUUAUUGGGCGUAAAGCGAGCGCAGACGGUUUAUUAAGUCUGAUGUGAAAGCCCGGAGCUCAACUCCGGAAUGGCAUUGGAAACUGGUUAACUUGAGUGCAGUAGAGGUAAGUGGAACUCCAUGUGUAGCGGUGGAAUGCGUAGAUAUAUGGAAGAACACCAGUGGCGAAGGCGGCUUACUGGACUGCAACUGACGUUGAGGCUCGAAAGUGUGGGUAGCAAACAGGAUUAGAUACCCUGGUAGUCCACACCGUAAACGAUGAACACUAGGUGUUAGGAGGUUUCCGCCUCUUAGUGCCGAAGCUAACGCAUUAAGUGUUCCGCCUGGGGAGUACGACCGCAAGGUUGAAACUCAAAGGAAUUGACGGGGACCCGCACAAGCGGUGGAGCAUGUGGUUUAAUUCGAAGCAACGCGAAGAACCUUACCAGGUCUUGACAUCCUUUGAAGCUUUUAGAGAUAGAAGUGUUCUCUUCGGAGACAAAGUGACAGGUGGUGCAUGGUCGUCGUCAGCUCGUGUCGUGAGAUGUUGGGUUAAGUCCCGCAACGAGCGCAACCCUUAUUGUUAGUUGCCAGCAUUCAGAUGGGCAC